rnacentral:rRNA from 1 species
GAUGAACGCUGGCGGCGUGCCUAAUACAUGCAAGUCGAGCGAACGGACGAGAAGCUUGCUUCUCUGAUGUUAGCGGCGGACGGGUGAGUAACACGUGGAUAACCUACCUAUAAGACUGGGAUAACUUCGGGAAACCGUAGCUAAUACCGGAUAAUAUUUUGAACCGCAUGGUUCAAAAGUGAAAGACGGUCUUGCUGUCACUUAUAGAUGGAUCCGCGCUGCAUUAGCUAGUUGGUAAGGUAACGGCUUACCAAGGCAACGAUGCAUAGCCGACCUGAGAGGGUGAUCGGCCACACUGGAACUGAGACACGGUCCAGACUCCUACGGGAGGCAGCAGUAGGGAAUCUUCCGCAAUGGGCGAAAGCCUGACGGAGCAACGCCGCGUGAGUGAUGAAGGUCUUCGGAUCGUAAAACUCUGUUAUUAGGGAAGAACAUAUGUGUAAGUAACUGUGCACAUCUUGACGGUACCGAAGCAGAAAGCCACGGCUAACUACGU